UAGGGCAAGGCUUGAUUGUUGCAAGUAACACUUAGUUCUUUUCAAAUGAAAAAUAAAAACUUACCGGGAAUAAGUUUCACCUUAUCACAAACUCUUAAUGCAAUCUCAUUCCUUUGUGCAACUAAUAUCUUUUCCAACUCAAGCAGGUAAAGCAAUCUUCAUCUUGCAGGAUGAUGGUGUAAGAGGAAAUCCAAGUAUUGGGUUAGUCGAUCGGAGCAUGUCACUUGACUGAAGAGUUAAUUGAAUACUAGUGUUGGGUUAGCAAAAUGGUUUUGUUGGAACAAUCAUUGAUUGGAUGUGAUUCCAGUCAACUGGAGACUUGAGUAGUUGACCUGAGGUGAAAUACAGUUACAGCAACAUAGUUGUUAGCUUCUAAUGGUUACAUUUAGUUGUCUGGUCCGGUCAACUAAAGGCAAUUAGAAUGGAACCAUCAAAGCUGAUAUUUUAUAAGUUCUUGUAGAGCUUUGGGCAUAAGAAGUACCACAAAAUUACUCACGAAACUUUUGUGAACACUGCUCAAAGGUCUCUAAGAGUUUGGAACAAGGUUGGAGGCUACAACUCAAGUUCUUGGUAAUACUAACAUUUCAUUAUCUUUGAGAGAGAGUAUUCAAGAAAGUUGAGUUUAUUGUAAACCAUCCUUGGCUGGAUGUAGAGGUUCGCCCCAUUGUAUCUUAUUAAGGGGUGAUUAUAGUGGAUUUUCAGGGUGACACUAAAUGCACCAUAGGUUGUAGAGUAGAAGCAAAAUUUCUGAACUACAUUAUACUAUCGUGUUGGUUUGUCUUGUGUUUAUUGUCAUUAUUUUUGCUGUGAAUAUAACUUGAUAUGAUCAAUCAGAUACAAGUACACACUACUAACUGUGAAUUAUUUGCAUUAUGGGUAUUGUUGAAUUGAUUAUUCAUUCUCUUGCUCUAGCCGGAAUAAACCAUCUAUUUAAUCCUGCAGUAAGGUCUUUAUCCAACAGGAGCAGUAUGAAUACAUGAUAGACUGUUAUAGUUAUGUUGUACUUAACUUUCUGUGCUUUUAAUUGUUCUGUAAGGCGACUGCAUAAUUCCAAAGACAACAAAGCCAUUCUCUAAUAUUUUCAGGGUUGAGUAGCAAAGUGUUUUUCAUGUGUUGUAUGAUAUUCCUUAUGCUAGCAAAUACUUUUCCAGUCUAAUGGGUCGAGCAAGUUUCAUGUCAUCAAUGUAAAUAUGUAAUAGAAACUUUAUUAGUCUUUUUUUUUUUGUCUAACUGUAUGACAUUCUGCAUGCUUUCAUUCUUUUUAAAAUAAGUUAGGAUGUCUAGGAACAUUCGAGCAAAUGCCUUUUGAAAGCACAUUCAGCUACUUUGUUCCUUUAGUUUGGAUUAUCACCCUUUUAUUAGAAAAUUAUGCAAUUGCAAGCAGCUCCAUCAUUGCUCAGUUAUACUAAAUGUAUUUCAGUUUCAAGACUUUGCCAUGAUUAAGAAUCUUGAGAAAGAGUUGGAUUCAUUGUGAAAUCUGUUAAGUGCACAUCUACAAACUUGAUCUGAUAACUUUUGUUGCUAUUGUAGUCUUGCUUUGGCACAUUCUAUCAGAAACUAGGGACUCAUAUGGGAUUCUACAUGUGGCGUUGAUGGAGCAAGGACAGCAGUGCGGAUUACACAAUUUAGAAAAGUGGAGAUGCUGGAUUCCUUCAGGUUUCAGAAAUGGUAUGAAAACGUGACAACAAAUUCUAAAAUGUUGAUGCUGGUGACAAUCACCAUCAUGCUUCAAGUUCAUGGCAUCAGCCUCACAAACAACAGGAAACUCCAGAUCAACAACAAGCAAAGCACGUGAAAUCGUGUCCGAUUGUCUGCUGGGAUAGAGUCCAUGAUUGAUACUGAAAGAAGCCUGAAGAGACACCCUUCGGCUCAGUGCUUCUCCACUACAUGCAGCCAUGACUUUCCUUCUGGUGGCUGGAGACCAAGAUGGAGAGAGGGAGAAAAAUCUAAUGGGACCAGCUGCUUGGAGAUGCUGUAGCAUGAUGAUGAGUGUAAUCCAUGAAGCAAGUUUAGGACCAGGUACUUUUCUUGGCCGGUCCCAUGAUUUGUCUGGAGCACCUUACCUUGUUUGCCAUCCAUCAGCUUGAGAAGGUAAAC